rnacentral:rRNA from 1 species
GCUUGUCUCAAAGAUUAAGCCAUGCAUGUCUAAGUAUAAACUAAUUUGUACAGUGAAACUGCGAAUGGCUCAUUAAAUCAGUUAUAGUCUAUUUGAUAAUUAACCUUACUCGGAUAACCGUGGUAAUUCUAGAGCUAAUACGUGCAUAAAACCCCGACUUCUGGAAGGGGUGUAUUUAUUAGAUGGAAACCAAUGCGGGGCAACCCGGUAUAUGGUGAUUCAUAAUAACUUUCGGAUCGAUCUUCGGAUCGAUGCAUCAUUCAAGUUUCUGCCCUAUCAGCUUUGGAUGGUAGGGUAUUGGCCUACCAUGGCUUUAACGGGUAACGGAGAAUUAGGGUUCGAUUCCGGAGAGGGAGCCUGAGAAAUGGCUACCACAUCCAAGGAAGGCAGCAGG